UCUACAAAAUCUUCCAUUAAAGUGUUGUAUUUUUUUCUUUUGAUUCCUUCAUUACAUCAGGCUCUGUCCUUGAAUUCCUUUCCCAACUUCUGCUUCCAUACCUUUAAGCCAUGGGGUAUCCAACUUUUUUUCAGGCUCCAUCACAAGAGGGAGCCCCAUUGCUAGUCCCCAUCCUCAAAGCCCUCUGCGUGAUGUUGUCUACUGUUACUCUUCACUACCCUGUGGGAGUCAAAGCCCUGGACAUAAGAACAGAAGGCAA
rnacentral:lncRNA from 1 species